rnacentral:rRNA from 1 species
UAGGGAAUAUUGGUCAAUGGGGGAAACCCUGAACCAGCGACGUCGCGUGUGUGAUGAAGGCCUUAGGGUCGUAAAACACUGUGGUGCGAGACGAUUAUGACGGUAUCGCACUAGAAAGGACCGGCCAACUUCGUGCCAGCAGCCGCGGUAAGACGAGGGGUCCUAGCGUUGUUCGGAAUUACUGGGCAUAAAGCGGAUGUAGGUGGGUGUUCAAGUCAGAUGUGAAAUCCCAGAGCUAAACUCUGGAACUGCAUUUGAUACUGUUCAUCUUGAGUAUUUGAGGGGGUAGUAGAAUUCCUGAUGUAGUGGUGAAAUACGUAGAUAUCAGGAGGAAUACCAGUGGCGAAGGCGACUACCUGGCGAAUUACUGACACUGAGAUCCGAAAGCGUGGGGAGCAAACAGG